GAAUGUGCAGUUCCUUGAUUGACCUGUCCUGAUGCAGUGCCUGACUGUAGUUCUGCAGCUCCACUGAAGAAGAGGCACUGAGGACUAGAGGCAGCCAGGGGAUUGCAACUCAAAGAGCCUGAAUGCUGACUUCAUAGACUUUCAAAACAAAGUAAUAGGUGAGGAGCAAAGGAAGUAGUUCUGCUGACGGUUCAGGACCUGCUGUGUGGGUAGGGUGGUUCACUAGUCAUCCUGAAAGGUAAGCUCUGACAUGGAGACAUUCAAGCAUGAGCAGACUUAGUCCUCUGGAACAACAGUUUCUAACUUUUUUGGCACCAGGGACUGGUUUUGUGGAAGACGAUAUUUUUCCACAGACCAAAAGACGGGGAGAUGGUUUGGGGAGGAUUCAAGAACAUAACGCUUAUUGUGUACUAUCAUCUAUUGCUAUUAUUAUUACAUUAUAAUAUAUAAUGAAAUAAUUAUACAACUCACGAUAAUGUAGAAUCAGUGGGAGCCCUGAGCUCAUUUUCCUGCAACUAGAUGGUCCCAUCUGGAGGUGAUGGGAGACAGUGACAGAGCAUCAGGUGUUAGAUUCUCAUAAGGAGCCCACAACCUAGAUCCUUCGCAUGCACAGUUCACGAUAGGGUUUACGCCUCUAUGAGACUCUGAUGCCGCCACUGAUCUGACAGGAGGCGGAACUCAGGGGGUAAUGUGAGCAAUGGGGAGUGGCUUUAAAUAGAAAUGAAGCUUCACUGGCUCACCAGCCAUUCACCUCACACUGUGUGGCCCGGUUCCUAACAGGCCACCAAUCAAUACCGAUCUGUGGCCGGGGGUUGCGGACCCCUGCUCUGGAGCGUUCGAUUGGCAUUGGUGCCAACCAUUCACCUCAAACUUGCCUCAUUUGAGAUGCAAAUAACAUAAGUGACAAAGCCGGUUUUUAAUCUGUUGGGAUCACUGCUCUAAAGAUGCAGUGAAUGAGAAUCACAAUAAGAAGUAGAGAAGUGUUUGCAUGUCAAAUUAAAAAUGACUUUUUUCCUGGAUUUUCCUCAUGUAAUUAAAACACAAGUAAAGUUGGGUUAUGAAGCUUUUAACUAUUAAACUAUUUGGCUAGCAUAAGGAUUAGCCAGAAAGGGACCGAAUACUUUUUUUUUUUAGGUUUUUGAAGUGAUCGUAUCACCAUGAGAAAAAAAUCCUCACUCUUGAGGUAAAUGUUAUAAUCGUACUUGUGAUAAAAAUCAUUCCUGGUUUGUUCUAAUCUCAAUACAAUCUUGGCUGUGUAUUUAAUAUUUUAAAAGUUUUCUACAAGAUUUUUUACAACAAUAAAAUAUUAAUUUUUCUCU
ensembl:lncRNA LINC01796 long intergenic non-protein coding RNA 1796